rnacentral:rRNA from 1 species
GAUGAACGCUGGCGGCGUGCUUAACACAUGCAAGUCGAACGAUGAAGCCCAGCUUGCUGGGUGGAUUAGUGGCGAACGGGUGAGUAACACGUGAGUAACCUGCCCUUGACUCUGGGAUAAGCCUGGGAAACUGGGUCUAAUACUGGAUAUGACUUCUCAUCGCAUGGUGGGGGGUGGAGAGAUUUAUUGGUCUUGGAUGGACUCGCGGCCUAUCAGCUUGUUGGUGAGGUGAUGGCUCACCAAGGCGACGACGGGUAGCCGGCCUGAGAGGGUGACCGGCCACACUGGGACUGAGACACGGCCCAGACUCCUACGGGAGGCAGCAGUGGGGAAUAUUGCACAAUGGGCGCAAGCCUGAUGCAGCGACGCCGCGUGAGGGAUGACGGCCUUCGGGUUGUAAACCUCUUUCAGUAGGGAAGAAGCGAGAGUGACGGUACCUGCAGAAGAAGCGCCGGCUAACUACGUG